rnacentral:rRNA from 1 species
AACGAACGUUGGCGGCGUGGAUGAGGCAUGCAAGUCGCGCGAGAAAGCACCUUCGGGUGUGAGUAGAGCGGCGGACGGGUGAGUAACACGUGACCGAUCUACCCUUGAUCCUGGGACAACAGCGGGAAACUGCUGCUAAUACCGGAUGGUCCAUCUGGACUGCAUGGUUUGGAUGGUAAAGGUGGGGAUCCUGCGGGACCUAUCGAUCGAGGAGGAGGUUGCGGCCUAUCAGCUAGUUGGUGAGGUAAGUGGCUCACCAAGGCAACGACGGGUAGCAGGCCUGAGAGGGUGGUCUGCCACACUGGGACUGAGACACUGCCCAGACUCCUACGGGAGGCUGCAGUCGAGGAUCUUCCGCAAUGGCGCAAGCCUGAUCUAGCCAUGCCGCGUGA